rnacentral:pre_miRNA from 2 species
UCUUACGAAUAAGCAAAGAAAGUGGUUUCUUGAGAUGGAGUCUCCUCUUGGUGAAUAUGUUGUGAA